rnacentral:rRNA from 1 species
CUACGGGGGGCUCCAGUGGGGAAUCUUGGACAAUGGGCGAAAGCCUGAUCCAGCCAUGCCGCGUGAAUGAUGAAGGCCCUAGGGUUGUAAAAUUCUUUCGACGGGGAAGAUAAUGACGGUACCCGUAGAAGAAGCUCCGGCUAACUUCGUGCCAGCAGCCGCGGUAAUACGAAGGGGGCUAGCGUUGUUCGGAAUUACUGGGCGUAAAGCGCACGUAGGCGGAUCGAUAAGUAAGGGGUGAAAUCCCAGAGCUCAACUCUGGAACUGCCUUUUAGACUGUCGAUCUGGAGCAGAGUAGAGGUGAGUGGAAUUCCGAGUGUAGAGGUGAAAUUCGUAGAUAUUCGGAGGAACACCAGUGGCGAAGGCGGCUCACUGGACUCUUGCUGACGCUGAGGUGCGAAAGCGUGGGGAGCAAACAGGAUUAGAUACCCUUGUAGUC